CCUACGGGGUGCAGCAGUCGAGAAUCAUUCACAAUGGGGGAAACCCUGAUGGUGCGACGCCGCGUGGGGGAAUGAAGGUCUUCGGAUUGUAAACCCCUGUCAUGUGGAAGCAAAUUAAAAAGAUAGUACCACAAGAGGAAGAGACGGCUAACUCUGUGCCAGCAGCCGCGGUAAUACAGAGGUCUCAAGCGUUGUUCGGAAUCACUGGGCGUAAAGCGUGCGUAGGCUGUUUCGUAAGUCGUGUGUGAAAGGCGCGGGCUCAACCCGCGGACGGCACAUGAUACUGCGAGGCUAGAGUAGUGGAGGGGGAGGCGGAAUUCUUGGUGUAGCAGUGAAAUGCGUAGAUAUCGAGAGGAACACUCGUGGCGAAGGCGGGUUCCUGGACAUUAACUGACGCUGAGGCACGAAGGCCAGGGGAGCGAAAGGGAUUAGAUACCCCUGUAGUC
rnacentral:rRNA from 1 species